UACGGAGGGUGCAAGCGUUGUUCGGAUUUACUGGGCGUAAAGCGUGUCUAGGCGGAUCUGCAAGUCAGAUGUGAAAUCCCCAGGCUCAACCUGGGACGGUCAUUUGAAACUGCAGACCUUGAGUAUCGGGGGGGUGAGUGGAAUUCCCAGUGUAGAGGUGAAAUUUGUAGAGAUUGGGAGGAACACCAGAGGCGAAAGCGACUCACUAACCGAUUACUGACGCUCAAGCACGAAAGCGUGGGUAGCAAACAGG
rnacentral:rRNA from 1 species